CACAUGCAGUCGAGGGGAAACGAUGGGAGGGCUUGCCCUCCCAGGCGUCGACCGGCGCACGGGUGAGUAACACGUAUCCAACCUGCCCUCUUCCGGGGAACAACCUUGCGAAAGUAAGACUAAUGCCCCAUGUGUCCUCAGACGGCAUCAGACGAGGACGAAAGAUUUAUCGGAAGUGGAUGGGGAUGCGCCUGAUUAGGCAGUUGGCGGGGCAACGGCCCACCAAGCCGACGAUCAGUAGGGGUUCUGAGAGGAAGGUCCCCCACAUUGGAACUGAGACACGGUCCAAACUCCUACGGGAGGCAGCAGUGAGGAAUAUUGGUCAAUGGGCGAGAGCCUGAACCAGCCAAGUAGCGUGCAGGAUGACGGCCCUAUGGGUUGUAAACUGCUUUUGCGCGGGGAUAAAGUGCGCCACGUGUGGCGCAUUGCAGGUACCGCGCGAAUAAGGACCGGCUAAUUCCGUGCCAGCAGCCGCGGUAAUACGGAAGGUCCGGGCGUUAUCCGGAUUCAUUGGGUUUAAAGGGAGCGCAGGCCGCCCCUUAAGCGUGUUGUGAAAUGCCGCGGCUCAACCGUGGCACUGCAGCGCGAACUGGGGGGCUUGAGUGCGCGCAGCGCAGGCGGAACUCGUGGGUGUAGCGGUGGAAAUGCUUAGAUAUCACGAAGAACUCCCGAUCG
rnacentral:rRNA from 1 species